rnacentral:misc_RNA from 1 species
GAAAUGCGAUAAGUAAUGUGAAUUGCAGAAUUCAGUGAAUCAUCGAAUCUUUGAACGCACAUUGCGCCGCCAGUAUUCUGGCGGGCAUGCCUGUCCGAGCGUCAUUUCAACCAUCAAGCCCCCGGGCUUGUGUUGGGGACCUGCGGCUGCCCGCAGGCCCUGAAAACCAGUGGCGGGCUCGCUGUCACACCGAGCGUAGUAGCAAUCACCUCGCUCAGGGCGUGCUGCGGGUUCCGGCCGUUAAACAGCCUUACAAAACCCAAGGUUGACCUCGGAUCAGGUAGGAAGACCCGCUGAACUUAAGC